rnacentral:misc_RNA from 1 species
GAGAAAUUGGAAUCAAGAAAUGAGUUGACUCCUGAAAAGUUUGUCGAAAUUAUGAAACUAAUGGAGCAUAGGUACGGGGCCAAGGACUUCGUUACGAGCAAGGAUUGUAGCCUUCUAGCUCCAGGUACCUACUACCUUACAGAGGUUGAUUCAAAGUAUAGAAGAUUUUAUGCCAAGAAAGCUGCUGAGAAUGGACUGGCCAAUGGUCAUUGAAGAUAAGUCCUAGCUAGCAACAAGCUUGUGUUUUUUUUUUUUU